AAAUUGAAGAGUUUGAUCAUGGCUCAGAUUGAACGCUGGCGGCAGGCCUAACACAUGCAAGUCGAACGGUAACAGGAAGCAGCUUGCUGCUUUGCUGACGAGUGGCGGACGGGUGAGUAAUGUCUGGGAAACUGCCUGAUGGAGGGGGAUAACUACUGGAAACGGUAGCUAAUACCGCAUAACGUCGCAAGACCAAAGAGGGGGACCUUCGGGCCUCUUGCCAUCGGAUGUGCCCAGAUGGGAUUAGCUUGUUGGUGGGGUAACGGCUCACCAAGGCGACGAUCCCUAGCUGGUCUGAGAGGAUGACCAGCCACACUGGAACUGAGACACGGUCCAGACUCCUACGGGAGGCAGCAGUGGGGAAUAUUGCACAAUGGGCGCAAGCCUGAUGCAGCCAUGCCGCGUGUAUGAAGAAGGCCUUCGGGUUGUAAAGUACUUUCAGCGGGGAGGAAGGGAGUAAAGUUAAUACCUUUACUCAUUGACGUUA
rnacentral:rRNA from 1 species